rnacentral:rRNA from 1 species
GCCUACGGGGGGCAGCAGUGGGGAAUAUUGGACAAUGGGCGAAAGCCUGAUCCAGCAACGCCGCGUGAGGGAUGACGGCCUUCGGGUUGUAAACCUCUUUCACCUAUGACGAAGCGCAAGUGACGGUAGUAGGAGAAGAAGCACCGGCCAACUACGUGCCAGCAGCCGCGGUAAUACGUAGGGUGCGAGCGUUGUCCGGAAUUAUUGGGCGUAAAGGGCUCGUAGGCGGUCUGUCGCGUCGGGAGUGAAAACACGGGGCUUAACCCCGUGCCUGCUUCCGAUACGGGCAGACUAGAGGUAUGCAGGGGAGAACGGAAUUCCUGGUGUAGCGGUGAAAUGCGCAGAUAUCAGGAGGAACACCGGUGGCGAAGGCGGUUCUCUGGGCAUUACCUGACGCUGAGGAGCGAAAGUGUGGGGAGCGAACAGGAUUAGAUACCCUGGUAGG